UCAAGAAGGGAGGUUACUAGGAAGGGCUAUGGGGCCUCCAACCCACUGCAUCCUGCUCCCCCAGGAUCCCCGACGCUACGAGGAGUGGAAGUGGUUCCGCUGCCCCACGCUGCUGGAGGUGCUGGAGCAGUUCCCGUCGGUGGCGCUGCCUGCCCCACUGCUCCUCACCCAGCUGCCUCUGCUCCAGCCCCGGUACUACUCAGUCAGCUCGGCACCCAGCACCCACCCAGGAGAGAUCCACCUCACUGUAGCUGUGCUGGCAUACAGGACUCAGGAUGGGCUGGGCCCCCUGCACUAUGGAGUCUGCUCCACGUGGCUAAGCCAGCUCAAGCCCGGAGACCCUGUGCCCUGCUUCAUCCGGGGGGCUCCCUCCUUCCGGCUGCCACCCGAUCCCAGCUUGCCCUGCAUCCUAGUGGGCCCAGGCACUGGCAUUGCCCCCUUCCGGGGAUUCUGGCAGGAGCGGCUGCAUGACAUUGAGAGCAAAGGGCUGCAGCCCACUCCCAUGACUUUGGUGUUCGGCUGCCGAUGCUCCCAACUUGACCAUCUCUACCGCGACGAGGUGCAGAACGCCCAGCAGCGCGGGGUGUUUGGCCGAGUCCUCACCGCCUUCUCCCGGGAACCUGACAACCCCAAGACCUACGUGCAGGACAUCCUGAGGACGGAGCUGGCUGCGGAGGUGCACCGCGUGCUGUGCCUCGAGCGGGGCCACAUGUUUGUCUGCGGCGAUGUCACCAUGGCAACCAACGUCCUGCAGACCGUGCAGCGCAUCCUGGCGACGGAGGGCGACAUGGAGCUGGACGAGGCCGGCGACGUCAUCGGCGUGCUGCGGGAUCAGCAACGCUACCACGAAGACAUUUUCGGGCUCACGCUGCGCACCCAGGAGGUGACAAGCCGCAUACGCACCCAGAGCUUUUCCUUGCAGGAGCGUCAGUUGCGGGGCGCAGUGCCCUGGGCGUUCGACCCUCCCGGCUCAGACACCAACAGCCCCUGAGAGCCGCCUGGCUUUCCCUUCCAGUUCCGGGAGAGCGGCUGCCCGACUUAGGUCCGCCCGACCAGGAUCAGGCCCGCUCCUCCCCUCUUGAGGUGGUGCCUUCUCACAUCUGUCCAGAGG
rnacentral:sRNA from 1 species